UUCGGGUUUUUACGUGCUUUCAAUCAAUAUGAUGAGUUGAGUUAUUUUCACCAAAAUUUAGAGUUUGAUCUAACGUUGAAAUGUACACCCACUAUUCAAGGUUAAGGAGAGUUCAGCACUAGCAGACAUGUUAAACCUCAACAUAUUCUGUAAGUGCCUUUUGCAAGUCAAAAGCCUGUUAUUGAGUGGUUGUCCUUUGUUUCUGUAUAUCAUAUUUGAUUUUUUUGUUUAUCCUUUUUUUUUUUACAUAAAUCAGGAUAUUAGUUUUUUCCUUUUGAAAUAAUUUAUAUUUUUUUCAUUUUUGGGGUCUUUAAUAGUAUACUAUAUAGUAUUUGUUUUGCUCAUUGGAGGCCAAAUAGGGACUUAUAGUUGUUAACAUUGGAGGCCAUAUAGGGACUUAUAGUUGUUAACAUUGGAGGCCAUAUAGGGACUUAUAGUUGUUAACAUUGGAGGCCAUAUAGGGACUUAUAGUUGUUAACAUUGGAGGCCAUAGGGACUUAUAGUUGUUAACAUUGGAGACCAUAUAGGGACUUAUAGUUGUUAACAUUGGAGGCCACAUAGGGACUUAUAGUUGUUAACAUUGGAGGCCAUAUAGGGACAUAUAGUUG
rnacentral:lncRNA from 1 species